GACGAACGCUGGCGGCGUGCUUAACACAUGCAAGUCGAACGGAAAGGCCCUGCUUUUGUGGGGUGCUCGAGUGGCGAACGGGUGAGUAACACGUGAGUAACCUGCCCUUGACUUUGGGAUAACUUCAGGAAACUGGGGCUAAUACCGGAUAGGAGCUCCUGCUGCAUGGUGGGGGUUGGAAAGUUUCGGCGGUUGGGGAUGGACUCGCGGCUUAUCAGCUUGUUGGUGGGGUAGUGGCUUACCAAGUCAUUGACGGGUAGCCGGCCUGUGAGGGUGACCGGCCACAUUGGGACUGAGAUACGGCCCAGACUCCUACGGGAGGCAGCAGUGGGGAAUAUUGCACAAUGGGCGGAAGCCUGAUGCAGCAACGCCGCGGGCGGGAUGACGGCCUUCGGGUUGUAAACCGCUUUCGCCUGUGACGAAGCGUGAGUGACGGUAAUGGGUAAAGAAGCACCGGCUAACUACGUG
rnacentral:rRNA from 1 species